rnacentral:lncRNA from 1 species
CCCGCAUUCGCUCGGCCGGCUCCGUAGGUGGCCGUGUAUAUUUUUGUUGAAGUAGUGUUUAUGUUAAUGAAAAAGUCUGAGAUUACAAACAGACCACUGAACGCCCGGGAUGUUGCUGCCGGAUUGGUCUACGUUGUGUAUUUUAAACCUAAUCAGGAGCAAAUAUGAUUUCCCCCCCCCCCCCUCCCGUGUAUGUGUGUGUGUGCAUUAUUUUUAGCAGAAAGACGUACGGGAUGUUUGGGGAGCCCCGUGCCACCCCUGUCCCUUUACCCAGUGAUUUCGGAGCUGUGUUUUUCCCUGUGUGGCUGGGGAGGGAGUGGGGAUGCAGGGAGAGGUGUCAGAGCAGCUAUCCGAGAAUUACCCCCAGAACAACGAAAACGAUCCCAUUGCUCCUGGAAAGGGAAAGGAAGGGCUCAGCUCACCCCCUCCGAGCUCCCUCCGACCCCAUAGAGGGGUUUCCAUGCGCCGGUGGCAAACGGGUGCGCGUCCCUAAAGCCUCGCCUAAGGGAUGGGGUAUCCUUUCCUUUGGGUAUUUUCUUUGCCGGGAAUUGCUGGGCACAACCUGAAAUUUGCAUCAAAAACCCCUUCCAAUUCGGCAGUGAAAAAUGCCAUUUACAAUUUGCCACAUGAAAAAAAAAAAUAGAUAAAUAGGCAGAAAUACUGAUAGAUUUCAGCCCUUGUAAAUGCCAAGUGUGCAGCAAUCAGUUCAUCCAUUGCUUAAAAGUGGAGGUCCGGAGAGCUUUUGGGUUUUUCUUUCAGGAGGGAGCUGUGAUUUUCUUUGAUUUCAGAGCCUUUUGGGGUCCCUUUGAUUCCGGUUUCCUUAACAAAAAAAAUCACUUCUGGAACCCCCUCAGCUGCUCCUAUCUCCCCUUCCGUUGCUGUGCUGGUGAAGAUUCAAAGAAAAUAACCCUAUUUUUGCAGACGUUCCUCUGCUGAUCGAUCACUCCCAGCACAGAGGGAUGCAUUUGGGGUCCCGGCAAAAGGGUUUCUCCCCCUUGACAGCUUUGCAAGCAACAGUGAGGCGGCUUUGGCAUCGCCUUCCUUCCCAAUAUUUGCCUUUUGUGGGCAAAAGCUGUCGGUGGAGCAGAGCUCUCCGGCACGGCCAGCCGGAGGAUUUGUGCACUCCGAUGUUUUACUACUGUUAUGAUUCCUCAUUGACUGAAAGUACAAAGAAAAUCGCCGUGUAAACAAGUCGCCGUCUGAAGGGGAUGUGGGCGAAAUUCGGGGCAAGCAGAACCUCAGCAGGGAUUUAAGGGAAGAAGGGAAACAAGGGGAAAACACGACAAUCCUGUGUAAGGUUUUCUCUAUGCAAUGGCAGUAUCACUUCGGAGCUGUGCAGGGUUUUUUUUCCCCAUGUUUCAUGGGGCAGAGGAGAGCCCUAAAGUGGUUUUUUCUCCCUGAGAAUAUCUGGAUGGCAUCGAUCUGUCUCCCAACAGAAAGAAGUAGGUUCCAGCAUGAGGCUUAGGGGGUUUCUUCAUUCUCCCACCUGAAACUAGCAGUUUUUUUUUUCCAUGAAACUGUAUUUUAUUGCAUUCUUUCUUUUGAGCGGGUCAAUCCCCCCCCUUUUCUUUUAACCUAGCAACAUUAAGCAACGCUGCAGAGGGAUUGUCAACACUACAGCAUUUGGCUUUGGGGAUAACACCACUGCUGUCGGAGCCAGGUUUCUGGCCAGCAGCUCCAAGGACUGUCACAGCCAUGUUGUGCGUUUGGGAACGUCAUGCAAUGGGGCUUUAACUGUGAAUGGAGGACAUCCUGGCCCCACUAUGGGUGGGAUAAGAACAACUCUCACCUCAAAGGGUGCACUGAUGACAGAGCCAGCUCCCACCAUCUGUGGAUUUCCUCAUCCUGGCAGCUCAGUGGGGAGCAGCAGGUCCUAGCUAAAUGCCUUGUGGUCCAGAUGCCAUGGACCAUCCCCCCUGGAUUCAAUAAGAGCAGUGCCCCUACAACACCAUGGUGAGCAGUUGCAUGGAGGUUUGAGCCAUCCCAGGGUGGAGAUCACCUUCUCCAUCCCCACAUUUGCCAUAAGCCCAAACCCAGCCCCAUCACAUGCAAUGAUAAAAAGGGAACUGGCAGCACAAAACUCGUUGUGAUUUCCAGGCUGAUGUCUGCACAACCCUACUGGCUUCUCCGAAAGAACCAAGAGACACAAACCUGUUCUGUCCUAAGGUUUCCCAUUAAGCUAAUUACUGCUAAUUGUACCACUUGGCUAUCUCACCAACCGCACCCUGAGCAGGGCUGAUAGGGUAUCAGUGAGAUAAGAAGCACUCGAAUAGCACAGGUAACAGAACUUUGGGAGGGGUUAUCACCCCUACCACCCUCCUUUGGGGGACACUGAGGUCAUAAGGAUGUGUGCAGGGGCUGGCACACAACUAUAAGCCUUUCAGGAAAUGCUACCGAGGGGUUUUGGUGACUGUUCUCUGCAAGUUGCAGAGAAGCAAGCUGGCAUUCAUUUCAUAGUAAUUCCUUUAAAUUCACUUAGCAUGCGGAUUAUUUGUAUGAGCUGUUUUUGUUGCCGUUAACACAACACUGUGGAAAUGGAGGUUUCAUUAUUUCUCCAUUUUUUCCCCCCUCCCACAGAGAAAUAAAUGCUGUUCUUUUAACAAAUGCUGUAUUUCUCACUUCAUUUCUGAUUUCUCCCCAUCUCUGCUGGCCUACCUGAAGCAAUUCAGCUCCCACACUGGCACUAGGUAGGGAUUACUAUCACCUGCUUACUAAAGAAGAGACUUGGACAAGGUGCUCUUAUUUGAAAACAUUUUUGGUACAUGACUUGCAAUAAGAUACUUGGAAUUUUCACACUCAGAGAUAUAUUUUGUUAGGUGUAUAGUCUCCCCAGCACAUGCAGCUUCUGGCUGUGAGUGUAUAAAAGCACAUCACAUCUGGCAGGUAAAACACACUGGCCACAUCAACACCUACAUGUUGUCUUGCACUCAUAUGUUUCAGAGCUUGCUGAUGCAACUACUGCACCUCAUAGAGGCAGGUGUGCUACACAGCGUGGCUGAACUGGGCAACUCAUGGCUGAGUCCCCUCACCCGAGGCUUGGGAUGUUGUUCAUGUCCAUUGCUCCAUGUAUAAGAGCAACACUGGAAGUCUGGAAAGCCAGUUAGGCAGACAGACAGACAGGACAUUUUCUUCUGUAAGGUACCCUGAUCAUCUGCUCUUCCUUUCAGAGCCUGGUCUGCAUUCACAUUGGUUUAAGUUACCCGAGUUUCUCAUUGUCCUACAGUGAAGCUCAUAACAAAGCCUGUGGCCAGCUCUUUCUUCGAUAAUUCCUUUCCCCCAUUUGUUUAUCUCAAGUAGUGAGCUUUGUUCCAGGCCCAAAACCAAAAGCCUUUCUACCCUGUUCUCUCCUUGACUUGUUGCAGAUGUAACGAAAUAAAUCUUUAGCAAGAACAAACCUUCACUUCCUCUCUCAGUCACAAACCCCAGGAAAGAAAAAUAAAUCACAACGUGAGCUCACCCGCUCUCGGAGGAUACCACGUUACUCCUGAAGGCUACCACUCAAACUGGAGGUGUCCGUCCCUCAGAGAGAUCAACGAAUGCAGCAAAUUAAUGAGCAGCAUCAGCCCAAGCUUUGACAUGAAACCAGCCCUGAAAACAAAGCCAUGUGCAGUGCCAUGAGCCAGGCAAUCCUAAUUCUCCAUGUUACCUUCCCAUUCCGUGGCCUGUUGGUGGGACAAAGAGUUGGUACCCAUGAAAUCACCAUUUUAAGUGUGGCCAAAGUCAAGAGCGGAUAAAAGCCUGCCACGAUCAGUCUGAAUCACGGUUGAUGUGAUGGCCAGCAAUGGUCAGGAGUGGGACUGUGCUGCUGGUGUGCUCCCAGCAUUCAUCCCUUGGGCACUGAGGGCCAAUGAGUAUCUCUGGCUCAUCCCAAAACUCUGCCCCUCGUCUCCCCUAAUCCACCUAAUGCCUUUUCAACUGGAACCGGAAAAAGCAGCAGCAGGGUGUGUUUGUUUUUCUCAAUUGGCCGUGGCAAAGAGGUAGAAAUACACCUCCAAAUAGCAUUUCCUCCUCUCCUGAGAGAAGUCUCCGUAUGAGAGCUGUGUUGCUCAGGAAGCCUCAAACCAUCUCUGAAUGUGACCAAAUUAUAACAGCUGUGUCUCCGGUUGACACAGGUCUAAGAUAAAGACGGAUUGACUUUAAGCUGGGAGUACAAAACUGCACAGAAGCAGCGAUGUGGAUUUACACCAGAUAGCUUUUAUUCCUUCAAGGAUACUCAGGGGGAGAUGAACCAUGAGAUACCCACAAAUCGUGCUGAAGUCAGAAGACAUUUGGCCCAGACACUUCAGGGGGCUGAAAUGAGACUUUCCUCCUUCUUCUUCUUCUUUUUUUUAAACAAGAGAUCUUUGCAGUUUUGAAACAAUCCGUACAGUUAGCAUUGAAGAAAGUGUAAUUAGACACUUGGAGGACUGGAAGAAAUUAACUCCAACCACAGGCUGUCACUCAGACCAUUAUUUAAUUAUUCUCCCCAAAUGCGCAAAGCACUUAGUUUUAGAAUAACAGGAAAGAAGUCUAACUCCUCACCAACAGCUCAGUCUCUGGAUGGGGACACAUGCACAUAAAGCCAAUGGGCUCCCAAGCCAUAGGAUGGGGACAGGAACAAGCGCCUUGGGCACAACUUUGGGCUCUGAAGGAUGUGAUUGAUGCCUGAAUGGCUGGAACCCAGUCAACGGGAGUGCCCAGCCCAAGGUGCAACAGGCUGCGGGAGAGAAGAUCGCCUUCAGUUUCCAACAUGCCAAGGAAACCACUGAGAAAUUGCUGUUUUCCUUCUUCUGCAGCACCGGGCAGAGCCGUUGACUCACCCCUCGCUACAGAAGCCUGGCUAGAAAGAGAUUAUUGUGAUUUCUGACUGUUUCUUUCCUAACUACAAAAGGCCCCAUUCAUCUGGGCUAAUUUUGACGGGAGAGCAAGGGGUAUCAGUAGCAUGAACUGUAUCUGAGCGUCUCGACCGCAUUUCAGCAAGCCAUGCUUGUUGGCCAGUUCCAGCCAGUGAAAUGGAUAUCCUCCAUUUCAAGCUUUUUAGUGGAUCGUUUCUCUGGUUCUAAACAGAGGUAUCUUUUCUGGCCGUGGCAAGUUUGAGAAGUACUGACGAAGCAGAGACGGCCAUUUUCAUGGCAGGAACAAGAGGCCAUUUAAAAAGGGGGAAAGGGCUGUUCUGCUCGAUCAGUGCACCAGCAUUUGUCUACCUACAUGCACCAUGCAUGUGCACCGAGGCUGGGCCCAGAACAGUGAAUCUCUGCCUUAUUUCCAAGGUCUGAACAAAACAUACUUUUAUUUUUAUUUUUUGAAAAUGCUAAAUUUGCUUAAUUGCGAGCCUUUGUGGAGCUCAGCUGGGACUGCCUGCGUGUGUGGGAAGGGCUGGAACGUAAUUGCUUUCAGCAGAUAUCACUGUAGUCUGUAAUUAAAACAUAUGAGGCUGCCAGCUUCAGAUUUUCUAAGUGAUUUCAUCUGUAUUUGGGUGAUCACCUCUCUCUGAGAGGCUCAUAUUAAAUGAUAUUUCAAGUUCCAGUGCACCAAAUGGGUGAAAAACAAUUUUGUCCUCUCCUUCUUGUAGUCUCCAAGCAAGUCACCUAGGCAGCUUGGAGAGGCAGAGCUCAGACCUCAUACGCACAUCCCUUCACCAGGGAAAUGCUUGGUGAAAGCUGCUCAAGAAGUGCUGCUCCAGAGACAGAGCGGAAGGUGUUGAUAAAGCUUGUUAAAGAAAAAGGAAGGGGGGAAAAAAGGCUAACAAAAAAAAUCUGGCACCUCCUAAAUCAGAGUGACAAUUUCAGUGCAGUGUUUACAUGAGGUAGUAAAAAUAAAUUGCCUGAGACUGAUUAUACCCACAUGGCACUCUAAAGGCAACAGGGAUGUCCCCCAGUAUCAGAAACCCAACACGGGGGAAAUACGUGAUGAUGGCAACCCUCAGCCCAUUGGGGCCAGCACUGCUUUGUUACUUGCCUCAAUAGGUGGAAGCAGCAGUGAGAAGAGGGAUCUGCAACUCCCCACAGAUAGACAUGAUCGCCCCAGGAGCCAUGGUUGGCUUACAAGGCCACUGCUGUUGAGUCCUACAAGGGCUGUAGACAAAGGAGCGUGUGGGUUUGGGGCAUCCUCAAGCUUGGACAACAUACGCCUGCUGGAUCAAAAUGGGUAAUGGAAGAAGGCAAAGAUGAUAGCAUCACUGUUAGAAUUGUAAUGAGUCACAAAUGCUAUUUUGAUGGUUUUCUUUGAAAGACAUGCACAAGAGCCAACCGAUGUAAUUGAAGAUCUCCAAGGCUUUGUAAUCAGCACGGCCACAAACGAAGGCAAACCUACUUUCAUGUGGUAGAAUACAAGAGGAGGUUCCCCAUGAAAAUUAAAAAAAAAGGGGGGGGGGGGUGGGGAAAGAAAGAGAAAAAAGAAAUUUUGAAGGGUUUUGUUUGUAGUGAUACCAGGACAUGAAGGACAUGCAGCCCCCAGAAUGACUGCAACAGCCUUCACGGCUGAGAUGUUUAAACCUAAGGAAUAGGAUGGGUCACUCAGCAGACAGUUUUUAUUCUUGGCAAGUAAGCUCUGAGCAUGGGGAAAGUGAGCAUUUUUGGCCUACGUGUGACCACCUGGGACUGAUCUGCUCGGAGGAGCAGGAAACACCAUGCAGUUGACCUGAUAGAAAUAGCUGCUGUUUCCUUUGCAUCCCAUCACCACGGGGCUGUGAGGUGCACCGUACCCCUGUGUGCAUCCAGUGUUUGCUGAAAAACAUCAGGGAAAUGGCGAGAGGGUGGAUUAAUCUGCCUGAAGAAGCUUGUGAUUAAUGCAACUUGGAUGGUGCUGUGGGAAGGCGGAUGGCUUGAAAAGAUGGAAGGAAGUCUGAGGCUGUCCUGGCUUGAUACUAUAUAUGGUCUUUGGUCAGUUCUGCCUCAGAGACUGCAGCCAGAAUCAGAUUUUUACUGUAUUUCUUUUGAAAGCGGAAAAAUGCUUGAAUAAUUUCACCCAGCUCAAAGAGCUGAGACAGAUAGGUCCAACAGUAAUCCAAGUGGUGAUGGAUGGGUCCACCAGCGAUCCCCGCUAUGAACUGGCUGCACCAGCAGGAUGAUUUCUCAGAGCACGAGCUGUGAGUUUGACCAAGUCCCUUCCAGCAGCCCUACUUAGGCUGCAAAGCCCCAGAGAUUUGUGCUUUCAUGCAGAUCCAACCUGCACUGAUAACCAGCACUGCUGAACGCGCUGGAACAUCCCCCCUCCCCACCCCUUUUUACAUCUGCUCUACAUUUGCAUCUCAGAAAUUAGAGAACUGAGCUAUGCAGAAUUACAGAGCACGGGCUGGAGUAUGGAACUGAUUGGGUAUUCAGGCUAAAUAAGACGAGUUUAAAGAUCUUUCCAGGAAAUUGAGUGGAACACCCAAACUGACAUUCAGUAUUAAAUAUUAUAUUUGUGCAGUUGCUCUCCAUAGCCCGUUGGCACUGAACAUCUGGGAGCACGAUUUAUAACAUACAGAAACUGAAUACCUGCUCAAAAUUAUGCUCAUCAGAGCUCAGAAAUUAAAAUAUUACCCUGUACACUCCGAGCCACUCCAUUCCUAAAAGGUAAGGCUAUUAAAAUAUGAUUAGCUGAGCCAUAUCUGGUCUCAGAAAUGUCAUACACCAUUACAACUGAAAAGACUUUGAUGCAAUGCUGUUGGCAAAGCCCCCUGCUUGAUCAGCAGCAAGAUGCCUAAGAAUGAACCUUGCAAAUACUUGCCCCAGCAUCAGGAGGGAAAUGCAGAAGAGAAGGGGAGCUGCUGGUUGGAGAUGCUGGAGUGGUUUGGGUCUUCUAUUUAGGGUAGGCAAGAGCUGAAAGCUUGAAUGCUAUUAUUAUUAUUAAUAUGGAAAGAGUCCCGCUGCCCUUUGCUGUCCAUUGCAAUGGGCUUCUUAUCCUUGCCCAGUACAGAGGUAGCCCCAUUGCUGUCCCCAGCCAUCGCUGCUCCCGGCCCUGCGCUGCCACAUUUCCAAGAGCACUCCAUGGGUGGUCGGGGUCACAUUUCCCCUCUUGUUGGAGAAUAAAAUCCAAACAACAGCCACAGAAAACCUGUAGGCACUGGGCUCAGGUUGGGGUGAUUACAAUCCUCUGCUUCUUGCAAUGCAAGAAAUUAUAUAUGCAUAUAUAGAAACACAUGCAUAUAUCUUGUAGAAUACCAGUUAGAAUGAUAGAAUUAUAUAGGGAUAUAAUGACAUAUUAUCUAAUCUAUACAUUAAAAUGAUGUUAUAUUUAUGUAAAAUCUUUCGCAAUACAUGAUUGUCUCUCCCAAUGAGGCAUUGAACAGCAUUCACCAUUAAACAUUCCUAUGCUGGUAUCUCUGUAAGGGCUCAGCUGGGGAUGGUCCCCCCAGGUCUGGGGCACUCAGCUCUGGCCAAAGCCUUCCCUAGGGCUGGCCAUGUAAUCCCAGCCAUGAUGCCUCAGCCCUAUUACCCUUUGCCCACCCCACAGCCAGCAGAAUUCCCUUAUAUUGAAGCCUGCAUGCCCCGGCCCUGCGGGAGCUGCCUCUCCCCGCCUUUGUCAGGGCUUAUUACUCCAUGUUUUCACACUUAUCCCCAAGGUGUUGAACUCACCCUGAAGGUUAAUUAGUAAUUUAUUGCGCUGUCAUCAGUUGGAGGCUACUAAUGGCUUCAAUUUAGCCCUAGGGCUCUUUUUUUUUUUUUUUUUUUUCUUUCUUCCUCCCUUCCUUUCCUCCUGCCUGCUCUGGAGAAGCUGGAAGCUGCAGUGCAUGGGAAAGCAGCAGAACUACCAGCUGGAAAUAUGGUCUCAAGGGGCUGAAGGUGGCUCUGGGUGCUGUCCUGUAUCCCUGGCCCGGUCAGCAAGAAAGCAAUUUAAAUCAAUUCACCAGAACGGCAAAGCUGAGAGCACGUGCCUGUGCCUGUGCUUAGCAACAUCACCAGCUGCUAUAGCAGGACAGCCUGCAUAGCAUAGAGGAUGGCACACCGACCCCACCACCUGACCUCUGGGCAUCUGCUUUUUGCACUGCACACCUGCAAGGCUCAUUGCUGAGCAAUGGGAGCCUCUGUGGUUGGAGCUGAUGAGGGAUGGGUGGCAAUAAGGAGCUGUUCUGCCCAUCCCAUAAUGCCCCUCCAGCAUGCCUCAAUUUCUCUCCCACCCCAUCAUAGUGAUACCAAACAGAGUCCCCAGGAUGGCACACUGUGCCCCCCUGCUGUGUGUCACCCCAUGUCCCCACCAGCCCUGUCCCGAUGAAGUACCUCUUACAAAACAGCCAUGCACUGAUUUCUUUUCUUAAUUAUUUUUUGGAAAAUAACCGAAUAACCCCAUUUCCUGUGUUUAUACAGACCAUUAGGUAAACCAGCCACGGGAAGGGGGAAGAGAAGGGAUGCGGGAUGGAAGCGAGCUCUGCAGCCAGGUCAGGGAGGGUGGGGGGGGGGGUGGGUUAGCU